UUUAAGUGUAGUUAUGAGAUUUUUCUAUAUCAAAUAUUUGACCGUUCGUCUUAUUUGAUUUUUUUUAAAAAAAAUUCACACAUAAAAAUAUUAUAAAAUUUCAAAUAAGACCGACUGUCAAACGUUGGGAACGGAAACUCACAACUGCACCUAAA
rfam:Oryza barthii chromosome 9, whole genome shotgun sequence.